UACGAAGGGGGCUAGCGUUGUUCGGAUUUACUGGGCGUAAAGCGCACGUAGGCGGAUUGUUAAGUCAGGGGUGAAAUCCUGGAGCUCAACUCCAGAACUGCCUUUGAUACUGGCAAUCUCGAGUCCGGGAGAGGUGAGUGGAACUGCGAGUGUAGAGGUGAAAUUCGUAGAUAUUCGCAAGAACACCAGUGGCGAAGGCGGCUCACUGGCCCGGUACUGACGCUGAGGUGCGAAAGCGUGGGGAGCAAACAGG
rnacentral:rRNA from 1 species